GGAGUACUCCCUCCGUCCCAAAAUUCUUGUCUUGGAUUUGUCUAGACACGCAUGUACCUAAUAUUAGGUACAUCCGUAUCUAGACAAAUCUUAGACAAGAAUUUUGGAACGGAGGGAGUAUGUU
rfam:Triticum aestivum genome assembly, contig: Triticum_aestivum_CS42_TGACv1_scaffold_147065_2BS